rnacentral:sRNA from 1 species
AUUCCCUUCUAACAUACUACAGAAUUUACUAAUUUUGUUCAUGUCUAUCUCCUCCCACUUGACUGUAAGCUCUAUGACUAUUAAUGAAAUAUCUACUAAUUCAUUCAAUUAAUUGAAUACUGCUAUUAAGUGCCAAGCACUGUGCUAAGCAAUGGAGCUACAAGAUGACUAAAACUGCUUGUAGGUCUUGUGAGGGAAGAAAUCCUAAUGACAAUAAAUGUAGCUCAUUUAGUCAAUGCUUCUCCAAACAUCAUGAUGGCUAAUACUAAAACAGACUCAGUUCUGCAUGCUCUAUUUCAUUUAACCCUCACCGAAACCUACACGGUGACUAUCAGCAGCCUCAUCGUAAAGCAUAAAAAAACAAGAUUGCAAGGCUGGGAAAUGGCAGUCAGGAUCUGAACCACGGUGUUGACAAUGAGAACGGAGGACGAAGAGGUCCCAACAGGACAUCUUACUGUCGAAAUCCGCUCUGUGAGCCGGGAUCCUCGGGGGGCUCUAGUGGAAGCCACACUUCCAGUGCAUCGGUGACCAGUGUUCGUUCCCGCACCAGGAGCAGUUCUGGAACAGGCCUCUCCAGCCCUCCUCUGGCCACCCAAACUGUUGUGCCUCUACAGCACUGCAAGAUCCCCGAGCUGCCAGUCCAGGCCAGCAUUCUGUUUGAGUUGCAGCUCUUCUUCUGCCAGCUCAUAGCACUCUUCGUCCACUACAUCAACAUCUACAAGACAGUGUGGUGGUAUCCACCUUCCCACCCACCCUCCCACACCUCCCUGAACUUCCAUCUGAUCGACUUCAACUUGCUGAUGGUGACCACCAUCGUUCUGGGCCGCCGCUUCAUUGGGUCCAUCGUGAAGGAGGCCUCUCAGAGGGGGAAGGUCUCCCUCUUUCGCUCCAUCCUGCUGUUCCUCACUCGCUUCACCGUUCUCACGGCAACAGGCUGGAGUCUGUGCCGAUCCCUCAUCCACCUCUUCAGGACCUACUCCUUCCUGAACCUCCUGUUCCUCUGCUAUCCGUUUGGGAUGUACAUUCCUUUCCUGCAGCUGAAUUGCGACCUCCGCAAGACAAGCCUCUUCAACCACAUGGCCUCCAUGGGGCCCCGGGAGGCGGUCAGUGGCCUGGCAAAGAGCCGGGACUACCUCCUGACACUGCGGGAGACGUGGAAGCAGCACACAAGACAGCUGUAUGGCCCGGACGCCAUGCCCACCCAUGCCUGCUGCCUGUCGCCCAGCCUCAUCCGCAGUGAGGUGGAGUUCCUCAAGAUGGACUUCAACUGGCGCAUGAAGGAAGUGCUCGUCAGCUCCAUGCUGAGCGCCUACUAUGUGGCCUUUGUGCCUGUCUGGUUCGUGAAGAACACACAUUACUAUGACAAGCGCUGGUCCUGUGAACUCUUCCUGCUGGUGUCCAUCAGCACCUCCGUGAUCCUCAUGCAGCACCUGCUGCCUGCCAGCUACUGUGACCUGCUGCACAAGGCCGCCGCCCAUCUGGGCUGUUGGCAGAAGGUGGACCCAGCGCUGUGCUCCAACGUGCUGCAGCACCCGUGGACUGAAGAAUGCAUGUGGCCGCAGGGCGUGCUGGUGAAGCACAGCAAGAACGUCUACAAAGCCGUAGGCCACUACAACGUGGCUAUCCCCUCUGACGUCUCCCACUUCCGCUUCCAUUUCUUUUUCAGCAAACCCCUGCGGAUCCUCAACAUCCUCCUGCUGCUGGAGGGCGCUGUCAUUGUCUAUCAGCUGUACUCCCUAAUGUCCUCUGAAAAGUGGCACCAGACCAUCUCGCUGGCCCUCAUCCUCUUCAGCAACUACUAUGCCUUCUUCAAGCUGCUCCGGGACCGCUUGGUAUUGGGCAAGGCCUACUCAUACUCUGCUAGCCCCCAGAGAGACCUGGACCACCGUUUCUCCUGAGCCCUGGGGUCACCUCAGGGACAGCGUCCAGGCUUCAGCCAAGGGCUCCCUGGCAAGGGGCUGUUGGGUAGGAGUGGUGGGGGGGGGGACAAAAGACAAAAAAAUCCACCAGAGCUUUGUAUUUUUGUUACGUACUGUUUCUUUGAUAAUUGAUGUGAUAAGGAAAAAAGUCCUAUUUUUAUACUCCCAA